GAAGGAGCAAUGUGCCAAGUACUCUCCUUACUCCACAUACUUUGAGGGCAGACUCAGCUCUGCCAUGCCUAACUCUGUGUACAACCAAAGUAACAACUCAGAAAAUGGAAACCAUUCUAACAUCAUCUGAACAGUUUUUGGUGGAUCCUACUCCAUUUUCUAGGAUCUUGCAGGCAAAGGACACCAAGUGAAUUAGAUAGAGAGGUUAAGAACUUGAAGGUGGCAUUUACUGACCUGUUUUUGAAGGAUAACACUUUCAAAGAAACUGCAAAGCCAUCGAGAUAUUGAUGCAAAGAAUGGAAGAAUGUAUUUCACUAAUUUUUUUUAUACAUUUCUUGUUUUGUAUUUAGUGAUAAAGGAAUCUAAAUUGGGCAUAAAUUAUUUUGUAAUAUGAUUUCUUAAGCCUAGACUAGUAGACUAAAUAUUGUAAUUACAUUUGAGUAAUUAAUAAAAAUCUAUUUAUGU